UACGUAGGGUGCAAGCGUUGUCCGGAAUUAUUAGGCGUAAAGAGCUCGUAGGCGGUCUGUCACGUCGGCUGUGAAAACCCGAGGCUCAACCUCGGGCCUGCAGUCGAUACGGGCAGACUAGAGUUCGGUAGGGGAGACUGGAAUUCCUGGUGUAGCGGUGAAAUGCGCAGAUAUCAGGAGGAACACCGGUGGCGAAGGCGGGUCUCUGGGCCGAAACUGACGCUGAGGAGCGAAAGCGUGGGGAGCGAACAGG
rnacentral:rRNA from 1 species